CUACGUAGGUGGCAAGCGUUGUCCGGAAUUAUUGGGCGUAAAGCGCAUGUAGGCGGUUUGGUAAGUCGGUCGUGAAAAUGCGGUGCUUAACGCCGUAUGGCGAUUGAAACUGCUGAACUUGAGUGCAGGAGAGGAAAGGGGAACUCCCAGUGUAGCGGUGAAAUGCGUAGAUAUUGGGAAGAACACCGGUGGCGAAGGCGCCUUUCUGGACUGUGUCUGACACUCAGAUGCGAAAGCCAGGGUAGCGAACGGGAUUAGAUACCCCGGUAGUCCUGGCCGUAAACGAUGGGUACUAGGUGUGGGAGGUAUCGACUCCUUCCGUGCCGGAGUUAACGCAAUAAGUACCCCGCCUGGGGAGUACGGCCGCAAGGCUUAAACUCAAAGGAAUUGACGGGG
rnacentral:rRNA from 1 species